UACGUAGGUGGCAAGCGUUGUCCGGAUUUACUGGGUGUAAAGGGCGUGUAGGCGGGUUUGUAAGUCAGGAGUGAAAUACCGAAGCUCAACUUCGGGGCUGCUUUUGAAAAUGCAAAUCUUGAGUGCUGGAGAGGAAAGCGGAAUUCCUAGUGUAGCGGUGAAAUGCGUAGAUAUUAGGAGGAACACCAGUGGCGAAGGCGGCUUUCUGGACAGUAACUGACGCUGAGGCGCGAAAGCGUGGGGAGCAAACAGG
rnacentral:rRNA from 1 species